AAGACUAAGCAUGGAUGCAGCUGGUGGACACAGCCCCAGUCUGCCCAAGAAGGAGAGGGAAUGUCAUAAUGGAAAGAACACUGGAGUGCACAGUCAGGAGGCAUGAAUUCUAUCAAGGUCUGACUCUGCCACUAACUUGUGGUUUACCUUGAGCAAAGGGGCUGGCUAAGGAAGGAGGAUGAGUCAAAA